AUACUUACCUGGUAGGGGAGAUACCAUGAUCACGAAGGUGGUUUCCCCAGGGCGAAACAUCCAUUGUACUCCAGGUGUGCUGACCCCUGUGAUUUCCACAAAUGUGAGGAACUGAACUGCAUAAUUUGUGGUAUUGAGGGACUGCAUUUGUGCUCUCCGCUA